rnacentral:tRNA from 1 species
GUCCCCGUAGCUCAGCAGGAUAGAGCAACAGUUUCCUAAACUGUGGGUCGCAGGUUCGAGUCCUGCCGGGGACGCCA